CAAAGAGCGAGCAGAGAGCGAUAAAGCGGAGCAAAUAUAAAGUAAAUACACCAUUCUGACACACGUCGCUAAUUAACACACCUGUGUGCACUUCCUGCUGUACUUCGCUUGCGUUUUGAUUAGUUUUAUUGCCGAUUUUAGGCUUAAAGAGAGCGUCAUUCGCUUCCUCACUCAGCUGCACCACAUGGAGAGGCAGAAUCUUUUCUUCACUCGGUGGUGGAAUUUGUGAAUAUUGGUCAGGUCUUGAAGUCUACCGGUCUUCAGGUCUUGAAGUUGACCGGUCUUUAGGCCUUGAGGUUUUCAAGUCUUCAGAUCUUCUGGUCUUCUUUUGAGUUGGAAAAGUGAUGCGAACCAGGAAGACGUUCCAAGAGAUGGCGAGCCUACCCAGUGUGAAUCCAGAACUAGGAUCUACAAUGUGCUAAAAAGCAAACCCUCCAGUUGCUUUUGCGGUAGGAGUGUGCCGGUUUCAACAUUGGCACCAACACGACCCUAUAUCUUAAAGAGUGCACUUCAACGAACAUAGGGAUCCUUGACUUUAGACUUGCAGAUCAAAAACUGCAUUUAAGCUGACUUGACUUUUGAAGAGCUGAACACUGGAAAAAAAAUAAAAAAAACUUACCGAGGGUCAUUUUAUUUUCUUUUAAAGGGCUGUUUGUUAUUUUUCAUACCAAUGUACAUAUUUUGUUCUUCUGCACAUUAAAGUGCCACUAAUUGUGA